rnacentral:rRNA from 1 species
UAAGCAUAUUAAUAAGCGGAGGAAAAGAAACUAACAAGGAUUCCCUCAGUAACGGCGAGUGAAGCGGGAAGAGCUCAAAUUUGAAAUCUCCGGUGCUUGCACCGGCGAGUUGUAGUUGCGAGAAGCACUUUCUAGGUGGAUCGGCGGUGCCUAAGUUGCUUGGAACAGCACGUCGCAGAGGGUGACAACCCCGUCUGUGGCGCCGCCGGCCGCUGACGAUGCGCUUUCGAAGAGUCGGGUUGUUUGGGAAUGCAGCCCAAAAUGGGUGGUAAACUCCAUCUAAAGCUAAAUACUGGCGUGAGACCGAUAGCGAACAAGUACCGUGAGGGAAAGAUGAAAAGAACUUUGAAAAGAGAGUUAAAAAGUACGUGAAACCGUCGGAAGGGAAACGAAUGGACUCAGCAAUGCGCCCUCUGAGAUUCAGCCGGUGGGUGGCGUCGGCGCGGGGUUUGCGGAUCUGAAUGGACCGCGGCCCGGCGCUCGGCGCUCCCCCGCCGUCGCACUUCUCUGGGGCGCGCGUCAACGUGGGUUGGGACUGGGUCUGAAAGGUGCCGGGAAGGUAGGUGUGGGCCUUCGGGUCCGUUCUGUUACAGCCCGGUUCUCUCAUGGCUCGGGCCCGACCGAGGAGCUGACAGGGCAUGCCUCCUGUGGCUAGGGUCCCGUCCUUCCGGCCGGCUGUUUUCCAGUGCGGUGGACUGCUUGCAGUGCUCUGCGACGGCUGCCGGUCGUUGGGGUGGUGAUCUCGUACCAUGCCCUUGGGAUGUUGGCGGUCAU